UGCUGUUGUGCCCCAAUCCCUUCCAGCCGCAAUUCCAUUUCAAAGCCAACGCUGCCAGAGCCACCCAAAUCGGUAGGACUGGAGAAAUGCAGACCCAGCGAUCCACGGUGCUCGCCGAAGCAUCGGCCCGCGGCUUCGUGGCAUGGAGAUGAUCUACGAUUUCUCUGUUUAAGGAAGACUGUAGCACUCUGGGUCCCUCUGAGCACCAGGAUAGUCCUGGUACAUGGAAGGAAGUCACCCUUAAAGAAGGUGGUUUGAUAGAGACACCCCACCACCGGCAGACUUCGUGCUUCCGUUUCCUUCUAAUAAUUGGGACUGGGACGAUCUCUUCCAACUAGUAGGUAUGGAGUUAAGGGUCGAGGUUUUGGGACAUUAGGAGGUGAGUCAAGUGGAUGAUUGUUCCCCAAGUGCAGAAGAACGCUGAGCAAGCAAGGGUCACCCAAGGCUGGGACUUAAGGCUCACAGAGAGCAAUAGGAGCCACCUAGACUUACAAAUCCAUGCCAAUCCCUUUUCAAAAACACCAGCCAGGAAGCACAGCCUGGAAUGACCAAAGACCCCGUUGGGGAGUCAAGCCUAGUGAUUAGUCCAGUUGUGUAUCCCGAAGGGCUGCUGUUUAGGCUCCUGCCUGGUGGCUGCUCAAUACUUGGAUUCCUCAGAGGCGCACUUAUUGGAGCCCUCACGCAGGUAAAAUGCAGCGCCAGGAGGUGGCUGAUACAUGGGAUUUUUCUCCCCCCACAAACACUUUCCCUUUACUUUCUCCCCCUGAGCUCACAACUCUCAGGAUUUAGGUCCCCUCUCGCUGUUCAGAAGCCGCCAAUGACUCCUAAUAUGCCUUCUUUCUGUGUUUCUUCUGCAUAGAACCUGGAAUAGGGACUAAUAGACUGGAAUCAGAGCACCUGUGUUAAAUCACACCCAUCAAGGCGCAGUCAGGUGAUCUAAGGCCUCUGCGUGACCUCUCUGUACUUCAGGUACCUCCCUCAUUCAGGAGACUGAUGCUGUCUGCUUCAUUGUGAGGCUAUUCAGGGAAUAUGUACUGAGAGUCUGCAAGACAGCUGCAGUUUGCCACUCCCAUCCAGAUCCUGGGCGCAUCUGUGCACCCCACUGACCAUCGGAAGGGCGAAUAGUGAGCAGAGCUCUGGUCAGUGGAGCCACGGGGAAACUGAAUCAGAGCAGCAACCUCAGGACUGAGUUCUGAGCAGAGCCUGAGAGUUGUCACUACGCUGUACUGAGGAGUCAGGUGUGUCAGGCAUCCUGGCAAAGGUGGUCUUUGAAAUGAAGGAGUUGAGGUGAUGGGGCCCUGGGGCAGCCACAGAAAGGCAUUUCACUCUGUAACAAGCAGGGUUCUGUCAGGAGUUGUGGGUGAAGUACCUGAUGACACUUGUAAACCCUGCUCUGUGGUCCCAAUGAUCCCCCCAUCUCUGUUGCCAUCAGAGUGACAGCCUUAAAAUGAGUGUGACUUUGAUUUUUUUUUAAAGAUUUAUUUAUUAUAUGUAAGGACACUGUAACUGUCUCCAGACAUACUGGAAGAGGGCAUCAGAUCUCAUUAUGGAUGGUUGUGAGCCACCAUGUGGUUGCUGGGACUUGAACUCAGGACCUCGGGAAGAGCAGUCAGUGCUCUCAACCACUGAGCCAUCUCUCCAGCCCGGGACUUUGACUCUUGCCAAGAAUGGGAAACAGACUUGAAAGUCAACUUCCUACCCCUUGGCCAUGGGAGUACUCUAGCUAUGGUGUAACUGAGGGGGGCCAACUGCCUGGGUGCAUGCCUGUGAGUCCCAGCACCUGGGAAGCUGAGGCAGGAAGACGGAGAGCUGGAGGCCAGCCUGGGCUGUGCUGCAUGUCUAGUAGCAAGGCAGCCCAGGCUAGACUCUUAUCUCAAGGGGCAAAAACUAAGGAAGGUGGGGGCACCAACUAACAAAAUAGGAAUAUUACUUUUUUUUUUCCCUGGGGAUUCUGGAAAUUUUCCAGAAAAUCCGAUGUCCCUUUUUAUUCCUUUUAUGAUCCUUGGCAAUUAUUAACUGUCAGGAGAUUGGAGACAUUGCUUAGCUACAGGUGGUUAAAGACUCAUGGCACCUUAAUUUAGCGUUUAUCUAGCCAGUUUGAACUGGCCUCCCAGAAAAGAUACUUUGGCCUUUAGAUCCUUUUGGCCAGCUCUUCUCUGAAACAGUUAGGGAAAGGAAGAAGUUUAGCCGGGUCACUGAGGUAGAACUUGGGGGUGACACAGAGGAACCUAAGAAGAAAACCCAACUAUAAGCAGCUAGAGGGGAGCAGGGUGGUGUGGCGCACAGCUUUAAUCCUGGCAGAGGCAGGCACAUCCGUGUAAGUUCAAGGUCUACAGAGCUGGUGGUCUACAGCGCGAGUUCUAGGACAGCCAGGGCUACCCUGCAUAGGAAAACAGAGAAAAGGGAAGGAAAUAAUACCACCAGGGACUGGCGAACAGUAAAAGGAAGCUGAGAAAAAUUGGGAGAUCACUGGGAGGGGGCAAAUGAGGGGAAUGGAGGCAGAUACAAUCAAAAUACUUUAUAUAUGUGUCUUUUAUCAUACCUGUAUCUUGGGCUUUAGAAACUGCUAAUUUGAGUUUUAUUACUCUUAAGCCACAGUACAUGUCUGAAUAUCUUAGGUCCAAUAGACGGAACUGGUUUUCUUGACAAGGGUUCCCAAACAAUGGAUGUUUCUGUGUCUGAUUCUUCCACAUUUGCAGGGAUCGCAUUUGGAUGCGUGUGCAAGCUGUGCUGUAGCCACCUCAGGUCCUGAAUCUUUAGGACUUGCUGGAGUUCAUUGCUGGUCUAUUUUGGCAGGUACAGGAUACUCAAAGCAUUUAUCAUUCUCCUUGCUGUAUACAAUUGGUUCUAUUCUUUUGUAUGACUCCAAGAGGUUAAGUUACAUGUUCCUCUGAUGUUUGUGAUCCUGUGCGUCUAGCUGCCUCCGUAGUGUCACUGAUCUUACCUGAGCUCUCAUACUCAUUCUCUCUCACUUCUCUUCCCUCCUUCUGGUCCUCUUGCUUCCCUCCAGCCUCCUUUAGAACUCAUUAUCUUUUAGAGUAAUACCACCCUUAACCAGUAGUUUGACUCCCCACUCCCUCAAAGGGGACUCAUUUGUCUCACUAGUGCUUAUACAUGUGUUACUGUAAUAAAGUAAGUUUUUUAAAUGUAAAUUUUUCAUUGUGCAGUUAUAUGUAAGCAAUAAAACAAAAAUAGCAUUGC
ensembl:processed_transcript 4933439C10Rik RIKEN cDNA 4933439C10 gene